AGUUGCGUAGCUCAGUUGGCAGAGCAUUGGGCUAGUAUUCCAAAGGUCGUAGGUUCGAAUCCCACCGUGGCCA